UACGAGGGGGGCGAGCGUUGUUCGGAAUUAUUGGGCGUAAAGGGUGCGUAGGCGGUUCCGCAAGUCCUGUGUGAAAUCUUCGGGCUCAACUCGAAGUCUGCACGGGAAACUGCGGGGCUUGAGUGUGGGAGAGGUGAGUGGAAUUCCCGGUGUAGCGGUGAAAUGCGCAGAUAUCGGGAGGAACACCAGUGGCGAAGGCGGCGACCUGGGCCAAUAUUGACGCUGAGGUGCGAAAGCGUGGGGAGCAAACAGG
rnacentral:rRNA from 1 species